UGUGAGAUUGCUCUCUUGAGAAAGGACCA
rnacentral:piRNA from 1 species